AAGUCGUAACAAGGUAACCGUAGGUGAACCUGCGGUUGGAUCAUUAAACAAAACCAAGGUGGGAGAGUCUCCUCUCCAAUCGCCACACAUUUUGUGAACCCUCAAACCCGUCCGGCGGGGGAAUGCAUGGGAGGCUUUCCGGCCUCCCGUCCAAUCCGUCAGCGCACAGGACGUCGUUCCUUGCGCCGUGGACAACCCGCCCACCCAACCCUUCCGGCCUUCUGGUCGAAGGGGUUGUUUUGCCCAACUUUUUGGAUCUUUAAGAAUUGUGAAUUGUCUCUGAGAAUGCGACGGUGCAGUUGCGCCGUCUUUUGGAAACAAAACAUUCAAAAACAACUUUUGGCAACGGAUCUCUUGGCUCUC
rnacentral:misc_RNA from 1 species